CUAGAAUGGAAUCCCGGUCUCCACGUGCUGGCUGAGGAAAAGGAGGAGGAAGAGGAGGGAAAGGGCCUAUGACCUAUAUCUUCAAGUAUUCUCAGGACUCCAAAAUGAGGCCUCCUUUUUCUAACCGCGGGCUGAAGUGGUUCAUUACUGCUGUUUCCUCCGCCAGGCCAGGGCUCAGCCAUUCCCACUACUGAAGUUCCACAAGGGGCGAAAAUCCUUGUCGUGGGUAAAGUUUCCCUGGCUGUUGGAGGAAGGCAGCUCACGGGGACUCAAACAGUUCGACUUCCUUUGUUAGGAGGCUGAGUACCAGGGCCAAGCUGGGAAAUUAAAGAUUAAGUUCAUUAAGUCAACAGGCCCCCACCCAAGGAGAGACCGGACGCCCCGCCGGGAAGCAGGUGGAAGAGAAGGCAACGCAGGCUCCGGAAAGGAAAGAUCCAGUCCUGUGGGCCCUGCUCGCCUCCGCCUCCACCGCUCGCCGCCACGUCUAAGCUCCCUCCUGGCCUGGUCCCCACCUGAGGGGAAGAGCCAGCCCUUGCUGGACGAUGCUCUCCCACCUGAGGCGUGUCUCGGGUCUCUGUUGGUGCAGAAGAGCACGUUGGAUGCCCCACGUACGGGAGGCAUUGGACUCUGUCCUCUCUGAAAUCUGGUGAUUGAGCUUCCAGUCAGGGAGUUUGUCAAACGCUCUCCUUCCCCAGUCGCUUGCCUCCUCAGGAACUGACUACUUUGGAAAUCUGGGCGGCCUGUCUUUCAAUUCCUUCUUCUGGGGUGGGGGAAUCAAACAAAACCAAACACACCCUCCCUCCCCAAUACACACACUCACACACACACACAUCCUACUCACACAGAUACACUCUCUCUGCUUUGUUAUUUCAAACUGUGUUUGUCUUUGUGAGGGAGAGCUCCUCCCUGCCCCUUCCCUAACUUGGAGACCCACAGAUACUUUAAAAAGAAACAAGUGGAAAGCAGUGUCCUGGACUUUCUGGUGAGCAUGGGGUCCAUCCCUGGCGAUUUGUUUGAGAGGAGGAAGGCGGACAGGGAGGUGCCCAGAGUGUGGCCAAAUGGCUGAAAAAAAGUGUCUGGUGCAAGUGUUCAAGAAAACCAUUCCCACACAAGCCUCCCUGCCUUAUUUCCCCCCAUGUCUUGGGCAGAAGAAGAAAGGUCUUCUUUACUUUUGGUGGGGUCAGUAGUUCCAUUUCUGCUGAGGAGCUGAGAAAUGCUGUCAGCCUUGGAGAUGUCUUUGAUAACAGAGAUCCUGAAAGAGAAGCGCUUGUUUAUUUGCAUGAUAGGGUCACUUAUUAUACAAAAACUCACCAGCUUUCUUUUCUUUCCCCUCCUGCCCUCCCUCCAGCCCCCCUCUGAGGAAAAUAAACAGUGUCAUAAUGAUUUUGGUAAAUAGAAUUCUUUCUAAAGCCACCUAAUCGUGGGGAGACAUUCUGAGAAGACCCUAGGAUUUAGUUGAGUGUUGAUGUGUGAAAAAAAAAAAAAAAAAAGAAGAAGAAGAAGACUAAAUUUUAGAGAUAUUUUAAUACACACUCGCACGCACACCCACAGCACACGGCUCGGUGAAAAGCUUUCUCCGGAGUUGAGAAUAAGCGUGUUUUGAAACCUUCAGAUUCCAUCAUGCUGUCAUACUUGUUGUUAUUUACUUUUAUUUACUUUUUUUUCUUUUAUUUACUUUUAAAGGGAAGGUUGCGGUGGAAUGUUCACUUCCCUUAGGCUGCCAGGCGUCUGUACCGUGGAGUGAAACGGAGAGGCUUUUAGUUCUUUUCGUAGAUUGUAUCAGAGAAGUUUUUGAAUAAAACAUUCUCAGUGUAAUGUGUUUAUUGGCUCGGACAGAACGAGAAAUAAUUCUGAAGCGAGCAGGCAACGUGUACCAAAGUUCUCGGUGUUUUUCUCCUCUUGUGAUUGUGUCAGGGUUUCUUUUUAUUUAUUUCUAUAAAGUGUCCUUUGUCCUUGAGAAUGUUGAAUAGACUUCUUUCAAAAGUUAUCAGAGACCGGUCUGAUAAAUCAGACGAGAAAUUAGGAACAUCUGAGUUAUUUUCUAAG